rnacentral:tRNA from 1 species
UAUAUUUAAGUGUUUUAGCAUCAAAGAUUUUGAUUCUUUAGGGUUUAAUUAAUAAUUAAAAAAUAUAA